GGAAACCGGAGCUAAUACCGGAUAAUAUAUUGAACCGCAUGGUUCAAUAGUGAAAGACGGUUUUGCUGUCACUUAUAGAUGGAUCCGCGCCGCAUUAGCUAGUUGGUAAGGUAACGGCUUACCAAGGCAACGAUGCGUAGCCGACCUGAGAGGGUGAUCGGCCACACUGGAACUGAGACACGGUCCAGACUCCUACGGGAGGCAGCAGUAGGGAAUCUUCCGCAAUGGGCGAAAGCCUGACGGAGCAACGCCGCGUGAGUGAUGAAGGUCUUCGGAUCGUAAAACUCUGUUAUUAGGGAAGAACAAAUGUGUAAGUAACUAUGCACGUCUUGACGGUACCUAAUCAGAAAGCCACGGCUAACUACGUGCCAGCAGCCGCGGUAAUACGUAGGUGGCAAGCGUUAUCCGGAAUUAUUGGGCGUAAAGCGCGCGUAGGCGGUUUUUUAAGUCUGAUGUGAAAGCCCACGGCUCAACCGUGGAGGGUCAUUGGAAACUGGAAAACUUGAGUGCAGAAGAGGAAAGUGGAAUUCCAUGUGUAGCGGUGAAAUGCGCAGAGAUAUGGAGG
rnacentral:rRNA from 1 species